UCGGGCAAGUUGUUGCCCAGCAGGCCUAUAUGAGUCUCCACGCACCACUAUCUUCGCCAUACCUCGUGCCACCGCCUCGCUGCAACCACCGAGAUACCGGGCGACCGCAGAGGGCCAUACGACGAGCGCCGCGAGAGGAACAGCGAGACACUGUCGUCUACAAGUGAGAAGGACCACCCUCUCUGCGCGGUGUGUGCAUUGGGUAAUCCCCGGAGUGCCCUGAGCGUGGACGUCACCGAUUGUGGUGGAAAGCGGGACCGGGUCGGGUGGAAUUCCUCGACGGAGUUGUCUCAGCGCCAAGCUGCCCCUUACGCCAACCAGAUCCUUGCAUCCCCCUCCACCGGCGUCCACAGGCAGGAUGGUGCACGGUUCUGCCGUCGCGCUCCCUCCCGAGUCCCAGGCGGGUAUCCGCGCCCCCUCUCCCUGACGCUGCGAUGGUCGCGCCCCCUCUCCCUCCCCUCGGCGUGAUGCCUGCAUCCCCCCUCCCCUGGUGCCAUGGUGCACCUCACAGUAUGUUAUCCUGUUGGAUCGGGAGGAGUAGAGCCGACGCGACGGGAUCAAGAUUUGUAUUUGAACCUAGACGACGGGAGGAGUAUGAGGCCCAGUCAUGGAGGAGGAGAAGCAAGCGAUGGAGGGUGCCGCUACGGCGGCGAGGCGGCUGCUGGUGAUCGGGGUGGGGUUCUGGGUGUAGGGCUUCCGGCUCUUCCUGUGGCUGGGCAUCAAUUCCUUCCUCAAGGACGGCAUGGGCGUUGCUGCCUCCUCAUUGCAGAUCCUCCAGGCCUCCACCAACCUACCCAUGGUCACCAAGCCGCUCCUUGGCCUCCUCUCGGAUGUCGUCCCCAUGCCCUACGUCGCCAUCGGCGGAAAUGAACUUCCAUCAGACUUGAUAUACACACUACUAAAGUGGAUCCCAAGCAAUGAGGAGGAGCUUAGGCUUCGAUUGUCCUCCCGUAGCACCGCCACACUGCACGCGUCCGCAGUGGCGUGCGCCUCGACGCCGGUCUCGCACACCGCUCCCUGGCUGGGGAAGUUCAUCGCCUCUGAGUCCUUCAACGGGGGGAUUCGACUGGGCGAUCUACUUCUACCCCGAUGGGAAGAGCGGCGAGGAUGGCGCAGCCUACGUCUCGCUCUUCAUAGCCCUGGCCAGCGAAGGCACGGAUGUGCGCGCGCUGUUCGAGCUCACGCUCGUCGACCAGAGCGGCAAGGGGCAAUACAAGGUGCAUACCCACUUUGGGAGGUCUCUCGAGAGCGGCCCAUACACCCUGAAGUACCGCAGCAGCACGUGGUAUGCUUAUCCAUGGUGGAAAGAAAAAGUGAUUGACUCAGACUUGAAAAGAAAAGAUGGUCUUUGCCCAUUGGCACCUGAGGCUAAAUGCAUACAGCUUGUUUGAGGUGAGAGUAUCUGGUGAUGGAAAUUGUCAGCUCAAGGAAUGUAACUCCUUAUAUGAAGGUUACGUUCCAAUGAAAUAUAAACAUUAUUGCAAGAAAAUGAAGAAGUAUGGUGAAUGGGGUGACCAUGUCACGCUACAAGCAGCUGCUGACAAGAUUAAUUCACUUUUUAUGCUAUGUUUCUAACAUCAUUUUCUCUACUGAAGUUUCAUGCAGCCUAUGUUUCUUUCGUCAUUUCUUUUUCUGCAUCGUUGAAACUGAUCGACGGUAGUGCGUCUUUCUGAUGGUCAGAGACUUAGGAUCAGUUCUCCAAGUACUCCUGCACUUGGAACCAUCAACAAAGAGUCAAAGAGUAAAGAUGUUAUUCCACGAUGGCAUGUUUCAUACAUUAUUUAUCUUUACGUUAUGUUUUGUUGUAGAUUUUUAAUUGUUAUUUUCUAUUUUAGUAUUGCAUUGUAUGGUUGUUUCCUUGAAACCACUUUCACACUCAUCUCUAUAGCAAUGAACAGACACUUUGUUAUAUCUUUUAAGUAUGUAAACAUCCAAUAUGAGUGAUGCUAGCAAGAAUAUAGAAUAACAAUUAGUGUUUUUACAUAUCUAUGGAUUUUAUCAUAUUGAUUCCGUAGCAAUGCACGGGCAUAUACCUAGUCUAAUAUUAAUAUAGUAUCAUGAUCUUAGGGUUAUCUUUGGCCUAAAAGAUGAUUUAUAAUAAAGUAAUGACUUAGAUUAAAGUUGAGUUAACUAUUUAUAAAAUAUUCUCUCAUAUGGUGUACCCUAAUCAAUUC